GCCCGGAGCACGGCCCAGUAGAAGCCAGGGGCCAUGUGAUUUUGUCCAGAACCAUCUCUCAGCUUCUGAGUGUGAGAAGCCCCCAUUCUCCAGCCUCCUGGGUGCGGCGAGGCUGAGUCGGGGUAAAGGAGGAGAACUGCAGUGAGCCCUGGGACCGCUCUGUUUUGGAGAUUUGGCCAUAAAAGAAGUCUGAAACCACCCCUCUGAAGGAUGGCUGUCCACGCCUCUCGGAGGGCUGACAUUACGGGAUUCUAGAUAGAGGACUGGAAGAAGAAUGGCGGCUGGGAAAGACGCAAGCAUAAGACAAAGAAAUUCCUGCCAUAAAUAACUCCCUGGCCGAUCUCUCUUAAUCUCUGAAAGUUUAAAGAUUUAAAAUCUACUUAAACCAAAAAAAACCCCCGAAAACUGCAGUUCUCAGCAAAUAAAGAUUACUUUAAAUUUCAGGUUUGUUACACUCACAAAUCACCCAUACAGUACAUUCUAAAUAAAAAACGAAUAACUCUCUUUGUGAGAAGCGCCCCUUCCAGAGGCCACGUAUAAGGCAUUAACCUGCACUGGGGGAAAAUAAUA